rnacentral:rRNA from 1 species
CUGGAGGUAUCAGAAGUGCGAAUGCUGACAUAAGUAACGAUAAAGCGGGUGAAAAGCCCGCUCGCCGGAAGACCAAGGGUUCCUGUCCAACGUUAAUCGGGGCAGGGUGAGUCGACCCCUAAGGCGAGGCCGAAAGGCGUAGUCGAUGGGAAACGGGUUAAUAUUCCCGUACUUGGUGUUACUGCGAAGGGGGGACGGAGAAGGCUAUGUUGGCCGGGCGACGGUUGUCCCGGUUUAAGCGUGUAGGCUGACUUUCCAGGCAAAUCCGGAGAGUCAAGGCUGAGGCGUGACGACGAGGCACCACGGUGCUGAAGCAACAAAUGCCCUGCUUCCAGGAAAAGCCUCUAAGCAUCAGGUAACAUCAAAUCGUACCCCAAACCGACACAGGUGGUCAGGUAGAGAAUACCAAGGCGCUUGAGAGAACUCGGGUGAAGGAACUAGGCAAAAUGGUGCCGUAACUUCGGGAGAAGGCACGCUGACACGUAGGUGAAGUGAUUUACUCAUGGAGCUGAAGUCAGUCGAAGAUACCAGCUGGCUGCAACUGUUUAUUAAAAACACAGCACUGUGCAAACACGAAAGUGGACGUAUACGGUGUGACGCCUGCCCGGUGCCGGAAGGUUAAUUGAUGGGGUCAGCGCAAGCGAAGCUCCUGAUCGAAGCCCCGGUAAACGGCGGCCGUAACUAUAACGGUCCUAAGGUAGCGAAAUUCCUUGUCGGGUAAGUUCCGACCUGCACGAAUGGCGUAAUGAUGGCCAGGCUGUCUCCACCCGAGACUCAGUGAAAUUGAACUCGCUGUGAAGAUGCAGUGUACCCGCGGCAAGACGGAAAGACCCCGUGAACCUUUACUAUAGCUUGACACUGAACAUUGAGCCUUGAUGUGUAGGAUAGGUGGGAGGCUUUGAAGCGUGGACGCCAGUCUGCGUGGAGCCAACCUUGAAAUACCACCCUUUAAUGUUUGAUGUUCUAACGUGGACCCGUGAUCCGGGUUGCGGACAGUGUCUGGUGGGUAGUUUGACUGGGGCGGUCUCCUCCUAAAGAGUAACGGAGGAGCACGAAGGUUGGCUAAUCCUGGUCGGACAUCAGGAGGUUAGUGCAAUGGCAUAAGCCAGCUUGACUGCGAGCGUGACGGCGCGAGCAGGUGCGAAAGCAGGUCAUAGUGAUCCGGUGGUUCUGAAUGGAAGGGCCAUCGCUCAACGGAUAAAAGGUACUCCGGGGAUAACAGGCUGAUACCGCCCAAGAGUUCAUAUCGACGGCGGUGUUUGGCACCUCGAUGUCGGCUCAUCACAUCCUGGGGCUGAAGUAGGUCCCAAGGGUAUGGCUGUUCGCCAUUUAAAGUGGUACGCGAGCUGGGUUUAGAACGUCGUGAGACAGUUCGGUCCCUAUCUGCCGUGGGCGCUGGAGAACUGAGGGGGGCUGCUCCUAGUACGAGAGGACCGGAGUGGACGCAUCACUGGUGUUCGGGUUGUCAUGCCAAUGGCACUGCCCGGUAGCUAAAUGCGGAAGAGAUAAGUGCUGAAAGCAUCUAAGCACGAAACUUGCCCCGAGAUGAGUUCUCCCUGAGACUUUGAGUCUCCUGAAGGAACGUUAAAGACGAUGACGUUGAUAGGCCGGGUGUGUAAGCGCAGCGAUGCGUUGAGCUAACCGGUACUAAUGAACCGUGAGGCUUAACCUUACAACGCCGAAGCUGUU